UGUACAGCACAUGGAAAUCUGGGCUUUGAGUAGUGAUAAAUAUGCUUUAAUUCAAAAUGAAUCCCAGAGGUUUGUUUUCACUACUUUCAGACAAGGAAGGAUGCUGUGAUGACAAAGGAGAUGCAG